AUUGAACGCUGGCGGCAGGCCUAACACAUGCAAGUCGAGCGAGCGGCGGACGGGUGAGUAAUGUAUGGGGACUGCCCGAUAGAGGGGGAUAACUACUGGAAACGGUGGCUAAUACCGCAUGCUAUCGGAUCACCCAUAUGGGAUUAGCUAGUAGGUGAGGUAAUAGCUCACCUAGGCAACGAUCUCUAGCUGGUCUGAGAGGAUGAUCAGCCACACUGGGACUGAGACACGGCCCAGACUCCUACGGAGGCAGCAGUGGUGAAUAUUGCACAGUGGGCGGAAGCCUGAUGCAGCGACGCCGCGUGGGGGAUGAAGGCCUUCGGGUUGGAAACUCCUUUCGACAGAGACGCGGUACCUGUAUAAGAAGCACCGGCUAACUACGUGCCAGCAGCCGCGGUAAUUC
rnacentral:rRNA from 1 species